GCUGUGGCUCAGUGGAAGAGCAUCUGCUUGGCAUGCAAGAAAGUCCCAGGUUCAAUCCCAGGCAUCUCCC
rnacentral:tRNA from 1 species